rnacentral:rRNA from 1 species
UACGUAGGGGGCAAGCGUUGUCCGGAAUCAUUGGGCGUAAAGCGCGUGUAGGCGGUCCGGUAAGUCCGCUGUGAAAGUCGGGGGCUCAACCCUCGAAUGCCGGUGGAUACUGUCGGGCUAGAGUGCGGGAGAGGCGAGUGGAAUUCCUGGUGUAGCGGUGAAAUGCGCAGAUAUCAGGAGGAACACCUAUUGCGAAGGCAGCUCGCUGGGACGUAACUGACGCUGAGACGCGAAAGCGUGGGGAGCAAACAGG